rnacentral:rRNA from 1 species
GAUGAACGCUGGCGGCGUGCCUAAUACAUGCAAGUCGAGCGAACAGACGAGGAGCUUGCUCCUCUGACGUUAGCGGCGGACGGGUGAGUAACACGUGGAUAACCUACCUAUAAGACUGGGAUAACUUCGGGAAACCGGAGCUAAUACCGGAUAAUAUAUUUAACCGCAUGGUUCAAUAGUGAAAGACGGUUUUGCUGUCACUUAUAGAUGGAUCCGCGCCGCAUUAGCUAGUUGGUAAGGUAACGGCUUACCAAGGCAACGAUGCGUAGCCGACCUGAGAGGGUGAUCGGCCGCACUGGAACUGAGACACGGUCCAGACUCCUACGGGAGGCAGCAGUAGGGAAUCUUCCGCAAUGGGCGAAAGCCCGACGGAGCAACGCCGCGUGAGUGAUGAAGGUCUUCGGAUCGUAAAACUCUGUUAUUAGGGAAGAACAAAUGUGUAAGUAACUAUGCACGUCUUGACGGUACCUAAUCAGAAAGCCACGGCUAACUACGUG